rfam:Schistosoma mansoni strain Puerto Rico chromosome 2, complete genome
AUCCAGCUGAUGAGUCCCAAAUAGGACUUGUCGAGCAUCCUGGAU